AUAAAAUAAAUGGGUCAUCGAGAGAUCAAAUGUGCUUUUUUGCAGGAUAUGCAUCUAAUAGUAAAACAUAUAAACUUUUAAAUUUGGAUUUUAAUGUAAUUGUUGAAUCCCAAGACGUGGAAUUAUUUAAAAACAUUAUUACAAAUGAUAAAGAAUUUGACAUUCCCACAAACAAAGAAUAUCAUGAGGAAGAUUCUCCAUUCAUUGUUGAAAUACAACCCUGAGUUCCUACACAUAUUGUUAAAACAGAACUCGGGCCUAGGAUAAGAAAGAGAGUCCGAAAAGAAAAGGUUCUAGGAUAAAUGAAAUUUAUUUUUGAUUUAGUUGUUUUUAUCUAGUUGAAGGAAAUUAUGAGAAACAUGUUCGAAAAAUUCCUAUUAUUCACACAAUUACAUUACACCGACACACUUCGCUAUCUUAGGUUCUCGACACCUAUUUUUAUGACAUUCAUAAUCUCUAAAACAUCGUCUACUAGGAUACCACGCUGUAAGGAGAAAAGAUGAUAAAUUAGUAUAACUUAUAUUAAAUAAUGUGUACAAAAUAAAAUAAAUAAUAAAAAAAUUUGAAAUGGAUAAAAAUGGCUAACAUUCAACGUUUGUUGCAGUAAGAAAUAGAGAAAGAAAGUUAAUUAUGACAAACAAACUUAACAAUUUUAGCCAUAUUUGUCUCCUUUUCAUGUAAUAAAUGAUUUUAUCACUUUAUAAAUUAUAAAUUCAUAUGAAAGUGUAAAAAGCACAUCUUAAAAUUAUAAUUAUA
rnacentral:lncRNA from 1 species